rnacentral:rRNA from 1 species
UACGUAGGGCGCAAGCGUUGUCCGGAAUUAUUGGGCGUAAAGAGCUCGUAGGCGGUUUGUCGCGUCUGCUGUGAAAACCUAAGGCUCAACCUUGGGCUUGCAGUGGGGUACGGGGCAGACUAGAGUGCGGUAGGGGGUGACUGGAAUUCCUGGUGUAGCGGUGGAAUGCGCAGAUAUCAGGAGGAACACCGAUGGCGAAGGCAGGUCUCU